AUUAUUACUUCGUACAUCGACCAUGCAGGACUCAAAUUCAGGGUCUGCAGUCACGUGUGUUUGUCCAUCAGUGUUCAGCUGUCUGUCUGCUGUCUGGAGGAUGAUGAUUUCUGUUUGUUCCUCUGAGGAAAUGGAUCUUCAGUCUCUGGAUGUUUCUCUCUCUGUAGAGGAGACCCGACCAGAACCGGCCCAGAGUUCAGUGCGGCCAUACAGUGAUGGAGAAAGUUACUUUUAAAAAUGUAAAGGCUCUUUCACACCAGAAGUGAAAUGAAUAAUCCUCAGGCAAAUUAAAAGCUGUACAGUAGAUGGCGCUGCUCAAACAAACCUGCUGCUGCUGAAGAAAGAUUCACACAUUUCAGCAAUAAAAAAAAAAAG